rnacentral:rRNA from 1 species
GAUGAACGCUAGCGGGAGGCCUAACACAUGCAAGCCGAGCGGUAUUUCUUCUUCGGGAGAGAGAGAGCGGCGUACGGGUGCGGAACACGUGUGCAACCUGCCUUUAUCUAGAGGAUAGCCUUUCGAAAGGAAGAUUAAUACUCUAUAAUAUAUUAAUUGGCAUCAAUUGAUAUUGAAAACUCCGGUGGAUAGAGAUGGGCACGCGCAAGAUUAGCUAGUUGGUGAGGUAACGGCUCACCAAGGCAAUGAUCUUUAGGGGGCCUGAGAGGGUGAUCCCCCACACUGGUACUGAGACACGGACCAGACUCCUACGGGAGGCAGCAGUGAGGAAUAUUGGUCAAUGGGUGCAAGCCUGAACCAGCCAUCCCGCGUGAAGGAUUAAGGUCCUAUGGAUUGUAAACUUCUUUUGUAUAGGGAUAAACCUACCCUCGUGAGGGUGGCUGAAGGUACUAUACGAAUAAGCACCGGCUAACUCCGUGCCAGCAGCCGCAGUAACAC